CCCCACUCUAUGGAAAGCCUGGGCGGUGACAAAAGUAAUCGAAGCUGAGAUCUCCCUGAAUUCCCUGAAGUUGACAUCACUCUGCCUUCUGGAAGACAGCUCUAUGCGUUUAAGUCCCAGUAAGUUUCACUAAUCACAGUCCAGUGGCAGAGCAGAGUCAAGAUGACCCGUGAUGGCUGGGGAUGCACUGGAUGACCUCGGUGUCUUUGAUAUCUAACCAAGCUCAAAGAAAGGAUCAUAUUAGAAAAAUCCUGGAAGGGAUUCUGUUAUGUCUUGAUCUUGAGGAAAAGAUGGAAAGAGAGGAAGAAUACACUAAGGAAACCACUUCAAAAACCACUGAUGCAGGCAGCAAAGUGAGCCACUGUGGGAGAGUGAGAGAGCCAUGCUGUGCAGAGCUGCUUGGAGAGACUUUGGACACCUCCAGUCAGUGCCCAGAUGAGCACGAGUCCCAGAGGAAGGAUGAAGGUCUUCAUCCAUGAGGAUGGCGGCUCAACUCCUAAGAGGAAGGGAGUGAACUUGCCAUGCACCAAGGGCAUGGCCAGUGGGCAAAAUGCAGAGACGGAUGAUGGAGGCAUCUUUGAACUCCUAGGGGACAACCUCCUCUUGCCAUAGAACCCAGAAAAUUUCAGUUACCUUUUGCAUGAGCAGUGGAUCACCUACCUUGUAAACCUCAGCUGGAACAGAAUCGGCACCAGGCGCUUUGCCACACAAAUAGAACCCAAUGGCAUUCAGAACCUCUUCUUCAGUUGGAACUUCAGCUAGGGAGGGAUUGAUUUCGACUUGGGGAAUUCUGCUGCCUUGCAGAUGCAGUGAGCAUCAGGGAGCCGUCCUUCAAGAAUGUCUGGUUUGUUGUCCAAAGAAGUCUGGGUCUCUUUCUGGCAAGUGGACUCAAACAAGGAACACUUCCUAGUCCCCGGAAGAAAGGCAGGGGUUGUUGUUGGCCCCUCAUUACCAAACUUCCCACCAAGCAUUUUGCUCCCCAUACCUCCACUCUGUAACCAGUCAUGUCAUCCUCAACCCUAUGACAUCACCUAACCUGCUCUGUUCUUUGUUCCAUACUCCCCCAAACCUAUAAAAUUGUCCUCCUCAUUCAGGGUCUUAGCUUUGCCUAAGAAGCUGAGAUCCUAUUUAUUGGAAAAUUUGCAUUUUACUAAUAAAUUGAUCAUGCUUGGAA